UUUGAAAAUAUAUAUAAAUAAACCGUAUGAAAGACUACAAAGCAAUGUGGUACGGAUAAUAGCCUAGCAAUCGUUCUAGCUAGACGGAUACGUUUGGCAUAUAACGUUAUCUCUCGUAGUAAUACGUGCAAAUGAGAUGAAAGUAGGAAACCUACGAAAAAAGGUUAUUAGUGGCUUAUUAUAUGAGUAUAUAAGGUAUAAAACUAAUCGACAUCGUAAUUCGACACUUGCGUUGUGCAAGGUGUAGGGCGGCGAAGUUAUUAUAUGUGGCAAUAUAAAGACCGGAACGUAAGGCUAAAACAAGAUGUAGUGUUGUUGAUGCAUAGAAAUAUGCAUAUAAGAUUAGUAGUUAGUACAAGUAGCACAAAUCAACAUGACAAUAUUAACAAUGGAUAUAGAUGGUAUAUCGGUUUAGGAAAAUCGCUAUCAAUUUUACUUACCUAAUGUGUGUGAAAGUUGGGAGCAUCAAUCUCUUAUAGACUAGGACUUUUGUUGGGUAAAAGAGGACAUAGGCUCGCUACCUAUCAGGACUUUUACUCUCUAUUGACUGAAUAAUAUAUGUGUAUAGUAA
rnacentral:sRNA from 1 species